AGACGGAACCAGCACCCGGGACCCAGGGAAACGUCACCUGCCACCAGGAGCUCCACAGGGUCGCUGAGCUCCGAUUCGAAGGUGUGGGGCACCCAGGAGCGGUAGCGGCACCUGUAGUUGCCGGCGUGCUGGGGCCCCACGAAGAUCAGCUCGAGGUUCGCCGCGGCCCCGGGGGUGCGGACCGUCUUCACGGCCUUCGUCUCGCCCUCGCGCAGCAGCUCGAAGAGGGCUCCUCCGGCGCCGCCGAGCUGCGCCCGCUGCCUUCACACCCCGGACAUCCGCGCCACACGGACCCAGACCCCAGGAGGCCUCACCCCACAGCAAGAGAAAGACCACGAGCAUGGACAUGAUGGUCGCGCUCACUCCGGUGCAGUGAGUGUCUGGGUGAUGGAUCCUAGAACCUGUUCUAGAAGGAGACGCUGAGUUCUCCCCACUCUACCUGGAGCUGCUGAGGUCAAGUGGAGAGUGCCGGGGCUGAAGCCCAGCGAGCCCCUCCCUGUCACACCACACUGCACAUGUGACACCAAAGGUGGGGUUCACCUCUUUUCAGACUUUCUGCGGUUGCCCUCACAUGGGCUGUCUGGAGGUGCACCCUCACUCUUCCUGAGGACUGUGGUUCCUUCUCCAUCACUGGUUCAUUCUGCAUGGUGUGACCCACCACGGCUCUGGAGUCGGAUUUCCACCCAGGUCAUUCAGCUGAGACCUGCGCUUCCCAGGCCUACCCGUGACAUGUGCUCAGUUACCUGAGCUGCUGGUGGUCACUCAUGUGGCUAUAGCCUGCUGCCUGGAGGCCAGGCCUCCCGCUUCCCCUGCCUCCCCCUCUCCUCACCACAGCCUGUUGGGAUGGAACAGGACAGGGGUGAGACCGUGGUGCUUUCACACUCAGCCUCCAUGGACAUCCUGUCAUUCCCACCCGGGGAGGUCUGGUCCCCACCCUGGGUGUCCCAGCCUAGCUCCGCUACGAGUGUGAGGGCCCAGGGCAACCGCCUAGCCCUCAUCUGCCCCCUGCACUGCAUCCUCCCCACUCAUUCAUUCCACAGGCAUUUAUUGAGCAUCUACUGUGUGCCAGAUGCAAAGAAGACAGUGGGAUAACUGGGCAAGGAGCAUUCCAGGCAGAGGGAACAGCCAG
rnacentral:lncRNA from 10 species